UAGAAAUAGGAGAAUUAUGAAUUUUAGGCCA
rnacentral:piRNA from 1 species